rnacentral:rRNA from 1 species
CUACGGGAUGCACCAGUGAGGAAUCUUCCGCAAUGGGCGAAAGCCUGACGGAGCGACACCGCGUGAAGGAUGAAGGUCUUUUGAUUGUAAACUUCUUUUCUGAGGGAAUAAAUGAUGAAGUUACCUCAGGAAUAAGCACCGGCUAAUUACGUGCCAGCAGCCGCGGUAAUACGUAAGGUGCAAGCGUUAUCCGGAAUCAUUGGGCGUAAAGCGUUCGUAGGCCGUUUGUUAAGUUUAUUGUUAAAUCUGGUCGCUCAACGAUCAAAUCGCUAUAAAAACUGGCAAACUAGAGAUUGGCAGAGGCAACUGGAAUUCUGCAUGUAGGGGUAAAAUCCGUUGAUAUGCAGAGGAACACCAAAAGCGAAGGCAGGUUGCUGGGCCAUUUCUGACGCUGAGGAACGAAAGCGUGGGGAGCAAACAGGAUUAGAUACCCUCGUAGUC